UAGGGAAUCUUCCACAAUGGACGCAAGUCUGAUGGAGCAACGCCGCGUGAGUGAAGAAGGCUUUCGGGUCGUAAAAACUCUGUUAUUGAAGAAGAACGUGUGUGACAGUAACUGGUCAUGCAGUGACGGUAUUCAAUCAGAAAGUCACGGCUAACUACGUGCCAGCAGCCGCGGUAAUACGUAGGUGGCAAGCGUUGUCCGGAUUUAUUGGGCGUAAAGCGAGUGCAGGCGGUCUUUUAAGUCUGAUGUGAAAAGCCUUCGGCUUAACCGAAGAAGGGCAUCGGAAACUGGGAGACUUGAGUGCAGAA
rnacentral:rRNA from 1 species